UUCUUGUUAUUUUUUGAAAAUAAUUACUUAGGGGGUGUUACUAAAACUUUCAUAACUUUUGAAAUAUUAAAGAAAAAUACGUUCUGUAAAAGGAAUAUGAACACUGACUAAAUGUUUUAUAUUUUAUUAAUAAUAUAAUAAUCCAAGGCUGCUCUGAUUUUUAAAUAAACGCGCAUAAUGACGAACUUGGCAGAAUUUCGAAAUUUUAAAGGUGAAUCAAUUGCAAUUGAUGGAAUAUUUUUAAAAGACAGAAUUCACAAAAUAAUGCUGAGUUCAUGUAAUUUUUUCAAAAUCGAAUAUGUGGAAAGGAGCUGUUUGAAAUGAAGAUUUACAAGAAGAAGUAAUUCCAUCUAAUUGGAUUAGUGUUAAAACUGUUUGUCAGCUUCCAGGUACCAAAGAAUUGACUGCACUAAAAUGCAGAGAAGAAUUGGCUUAAGUUUAUACAAAUAAAAACUAAAUUCUCUUCAGAUAAAUCAAUUACAGUUAAUUGGUGGAACGUCUUCUAAAGAUAGAAUACACACAAUUAUGCUGAGGUAAUCAAAAACAGUAUUGAACUCUUACCUCAUUUAUAAUCAGGGUUUCCACAGCUCCUCUAAAAUCCUCUAAAGUCCUCUUUUUUUUAAAACCACUUUUAAAACCUCUAUUAUCCUCUA